CCAGUGUAGGGGAAUGGAAUUGGCCACCCCAAAGUGUGCCUCUUUGGCAUGAGGAAUAUUUUGGGUUGGUUACUUUUAAAAACUGCAGACGUGGGAAAAGUUCUGAAGAGUAGACGUUACCCUAUGUAAGAG